UGUCUCCUACGGGACGCAGCAGUAGGGAAUCUUCCACAAUGGGCGCAAGCCUGAUGGAGCAACACCGCGUGAGUGAAGAAGGGUUUCGGCUCGUAAAGCUCUGUUGUUGGAGAAAAACGUGCGUGAGAGUAACUGUUCACGCAGUGACGGUAUCCAACCAGAAAGUCACGGCUAACUACGUGCCAGCAGCCGCGGUAAUACGUAGGGGGCAAGCGGUAUCCGGGUUUAUUGGGCGUAAAACG
rnacentral:rRNA from 1 species